UUGCCGAUUAUAAGAUCUGGCUUUGCCUGCAGUUCUGCAGCAAUUUCUUUUGCCACAUCCUAAUGUAAUAAAAUCCGAAGUUUUAGCGAAAGCCAAAGUGUUAGUAAGUGAAAAAUUGCUGCCAAAACAGAUUGGAAGAUUGAAAAAUGAAUAGAGAAAGCUUGCUUCACCUCAGUGAAUGUCUCCAUGUAAGGCCAGACUUCAAAGCGAGAGAUCCAUUUGCGAACGAUGCCCUUCUCGGUCCUAAAGGGGACCCUAAGAAUAUGUGAAUGCUCUGUUCCAAACACUUUCUCAAGCCGCUGACCACAAGUGGUACCAACCGC
rnacentral:lncRNA from 1 species